AGAGUUUGAUCAUGGCUCAGGACGAACGCUGGCGGCGCGCUUAACACAUGCAAGUCGAGCGAGAACCCAGGCUUCGGCCUGGGGGAAAGCGGCGAACGGGUGAGUAACACGUGGGUAAUCUGCCCUCGGCAUCGGGAUAGCCCGGGGAAACCCGGAUUAAUACCGGAUGGCCCGACAGCUCUUCGGAGCGGUCGGAAAAGGUAGCUUCGGCCUCCGGCCGAGGAGGAGCCCGCGGCGGAUUAGCUUGUUGGUGAGGUAACGGCUCACCAAGGCUCCGAUCCGUAGCUGGUCUGAGAGGACGAUCAGCCACACUGGGACUGAGACACGGCCCAGACUCCUACGGGAGGCAGCAGUGGGGAAUCUUGCGCAAUGGGCGAAAGCCUGACGCAGCGACGCCGCGUGAGGGAAGAAGGCCUUCGGGUUGUAAACCUCUUUCAGGAGGGACGAAGCCACUCGGGUUAAUAGCCCAGAGGGUGACGGUACCUCCAGAAGAAGCCCCGGCUAACUACGUGCCAGCAGCCGCGGUAAUACGUAGGGGGCUAGCGUUGUCCGGAUUUAUUGGGCGUAAAGAGCGUGUAGGCGGCCAGGUAGGUCUGCUGUGAAAACUCGAGGCUCAACCUCGAGACGUCGGCGGAAACCAUCUGGCUAGAGUCCGGAAGAGGAGAGUGGAAUUCCUGGUGUAGCGGUGAAAUGCGCAGAUAUCAGGAAGAACACCCGUGGCGAAGGCGGCUCUCUGGGACGGUACUGACGCUGAGACGCGAAAGCGUGGGGAGCGAACAGGAUUAGAUACCCUGGUAGUCCACGCCGUAAACGAUGGGUGCUAGGUGUGGGCGGUGUCGACUCCGUCCGUGCCGAAGCUAACGCAUUAAGCACCCCGCCUGGGGAGUACGGCCGCAAGGCUAAAACUCAAAGGAAUUGACGGGGG
rnacentral:rRNA from 1 species